rnacentral:rRNA from 1 species
UACGAAGGGGGCUAGCGUUGCUCGGAAUCACUGGGCGUAAAGCGCACGUAGGCGGCUUUUUAAGUCAGGGGUGAAAUCCUGGAGCUCAACUCCAGAACUGCCUUUGAUACUGAGAAGCUUGAGUCCGGGAGAGGUGAGUGGAACUGCGAGUGUAGAGGUGAAAUUCGUAGAUAUUCGCAAGAACACCAGUGGCGAAGGCGGCUCACUGGCCCGGUACUGACGCUGAGGAACGAAAGCCAGGGGAGCGAACGGG